UACGUAGGGGGCAAGCGUUGUCCGGAAUUAUUGGGCGUAAAGCGCGCGCAGGCGGCAGGGAAAGUCUUGUGUCAAAGACCGGAGCUCAACUCCGGGUUGCAUGAGAAACUGUCCAGCUUGAGUGUAGGAGAGGGAAGUGGAAUUCCACGUGUAGCGGUGAAAUGCGUAGAGAUGUGGAGGAACACCAGUGGCGAAGGCGACUUCCUGGCCUAUAACUGACGCUGAGGCGCGAAAGCGUGGGGAGCAAACAGG
rnacentral:rRNA from 1 species